AUCUUCCAAAAGAAAAAACAUAAUUUAACUGCACACAAUAUAAAGUAAAGUCUGCGUGAAAAAUUCGUCGAAAGUCCAGAAGAGGAAUUUGGCGAAGUUGCAUUGUCUACCCAUUUUACCACAACUCAUCUCAUCUAUACCUCGUCCGCCGUUGUCUUCGUUAAUUGUGUUGUGUGUUCCUCUGGUUCUGCGUUUGCCUUUGGUGAGGAAAUUAGCCUUCUUCAUCAUUGCAUCGGCGAUAUAUAGAAGUUGAAAAACAAUUUGCUAUAAGCAUUUAAAAGUGUGCACAAAAGAAAAAACAAAAAAGCCCAAUAUUAAAAGCUAUAGAAAGGUAGACGUCAAUAGAAGCAGAAAAUAAAUCGUAAAAAAAUCAGAAAUAAAAGUUAAAAAUAAAAGAUAAAGACAGUAGAAAAGGAACAUUUUGUGCGGGGUGUUAGCGGCCGCCUGUCGAGUGCCAAAGUGGAAGAAAC